rfam:Fukomys damarensis contig73148, whole genome shotgun sequence.
GAAUUGGUCUUAUUCAAGGCCACAGCACAGACUUUGGAAAACUGUGU